CAAAUGCAUCUCUUCCAUUGGCUGGUGAUAGUCCCAGGUUUAAGAAUAAGGUUUCCAUCAACCUUAUUCACCUUAUGAGGUGAGGAUCAACAUUCUGAUAUGGUUCAUGACUUGCCUCUAGCUCUUCGGUGAACCCUCUCUCUAUGCAUAAUAUGGGUAGCAUACUCAUUGUCUCCUCUCCAAGGAAAAUCUCCUAUUAACCAAGAUUGGUAACAUUCUAGAAUGGUACAUUUACCGCACACUCUCUCACUCAUUAAAUAUUCAAAACACCCAAUGUCUCCUGAGACUUAUUGCUUAAUAACACAGUUUUCUUCUUAAUCUCUUGACAAUCUCAUUAAGAACCACUGGACGGACUGAGGAUGCAACUCAGUGGUAGAGCAUUUGCCUGGCAUGUUCGUGGCUUUGGGUUCAAUCUCCAGCAUUGAGAAUGAAGAAAAAAGACAAGGGGGGAAAAAAAAGAGCUCCCUAAGAAGAAGCAACCUUUUCAAAAUCUGUGGUGGCCAAAAGAAGUCUUCCAGUAUCUAAAUGUCUGCCUUGUUUGUGCUUUUUUCUACAUUUUCCUUUCUAUUGCCAGAAGUUUGGAAGAAGCCAGCAGGCAAUGUAGUCAUUUGGUAAUGUUCUUCCCUCUGCCAAGAUGGAUUAAUGCUGGGAGAUCUUACAACUGGGUAGCACAUGUCUUCAUGCCUGGCCUAUCCAGCCUAGAAGAUUCUAAUGACUCAAGAAGGACAAUCCAUGGUGCCAUUCAAGUGUCUGGGAACUCUUGGAGGGUUUACCUUUCAUAUGGGCUAUAAACAUACUUCUGAAUUCUUCUACUUGGAAGGCAUGUGUACACAUACACAGACACUCUCCUGCUAUACC